GGCCCUAUCGUCUAACGGUUAGGACAGCGGGUUUUCAGUCCGCUAAUCCGGGUUCGAUUCCCGGUGGGGUCACCA
rnacentral:tRNA from 6 species